GAUGAACGCUGGCGGCAGGCUUAACACAUGCAAGUCGAGCGGAGAUGAGGUGCUUGCACCUUAUCUUAGCGGCGGGCGGGUGAGUAAUGCUUAGGAAUCUGCCUAUUAGUGGGGGACAACAUUCCGAAGGGAUGCUAAUACCGCAUACGCCCUACGGGGGAAAGCAGGGGAUCUUCGGACCUUGCGCCAAUAGAUGAGCCUAAGUCGGAUUAGCUAGUUGGUGGGGUAAAGGCCUACCAAGGCGACGAUCUGUAGCGGGUCUGAGAGGAUGAUCCGCCAACCUGGGACUGAGACACGGCCCAGACUCCUACGGGAGGCAGCAGUGGGGAAUAUUGGACAGUGGGCGGAAGCCUGAUCCAGCCAUGCCGCGUGUGUGAAGAAGGCCUUUUGGUUGUAAAGCACUUUAAGCGAGGAGGAGGCUACCUGGAUUAAUACUCUAGGAUAGUGGACGUUACUCGCAGAAUAAGCACCGGCUAACUCUGUGCCAGCCGCCGCCGUAAUAC
rnacentral:rRNA from 1 species